rnacentral:rRNA from 1 species
GCAGUCGAGCGGACAGAUGGGAGCUUGCUCCCUGAUGUUAGCGGCGGACGGGUGAGUAACACGUGGGUAACCUGCCUGUAAGACUGGGAUAACUCCGGGAAACCGGGGCUAAUACCGGAUGGUUGUUUGAACCGCAUGGUUCAAACAUAAAAGGUGGCUUCGGCUACCACUUACAGAUGGACCCGCGGCGCAUUAGCUAGUUGGUGAGGUAACGGCUCACCAAGGCAACGAUGCGUAGCCGACCUGAGAGGGUGAUCGGCCACACUGGGACUGAGACACGGCCCAGACUCCUACGGGAGGCAGCAGUAGGGAAUCUUCCGCAAUGGACGAAAGUCUGACGGAGCAACGCCGCGUGAGUGAUGAAGGUUUUCGGAUCGUAAAGCUCUGUUGUUAGGGAAGAACAAGUACCGUUCGAAUAGGGCGGUACCUUGACGGUACCUAACCAGAAAGCCACGGCUAACUACGUGCCAGCAGCCGCGGUAAUACGUAGGUGGCAAGCGUUGUCCGGAAUUAUUGGGCGUAAAGGGCUCGCAGGCGGUUUCUUAAGUCUGAUGUGAAAGCCCCCGGCUCAACCGGGGAGGGUCAUUGGAAACUGGGGAACUUGAGUGCAGAAGAGGAGAGUGGAAUUCCACGUGUAGCGGUGAAAUGCGUAGAGAUGUGGAGGAACACCAGUGGCGAAGGCGACUCUCUGGUCUGUAACUGACGCUGAGGAGCGAAAGCGUGGGGAGCGAACAGGAUUAGAUACCCUGGUAGUCCACGCCGUAAACGAUGAGUGCUAAGUGUUAGGGGGUUUCCGCCCCUUAGUGCUGCAGCUAACGCAUUAAGCACUCCGCCUGGGGAGUACGGUCGCAAGACUGAAACUCAAAGGAAUUGACGGGGGCCCGCACAASCGGUGGAGCAUGUGGUUUAAUUCGAAGCAACGCGAAGAACCUUACCAGGUCUUGACAUCCUCUGACAAUCCUAGAGAUAGGACGUCCCCUUCGGGGGCAGAGUGACAGGUGGUGCAUGGUUGUCGUCAGCUCGUGUCGUGAGAUGUUGGGUUAAGUCCCGCAACGAGCGCAACCCUUGAUCUUAGUUGCCAGCAUUCAGUUGGGCACUCUAAGGUGACUGCCGGUGACAAACCGGAGGAAGGUGGGGAUGACGUCAAAUCAUCAUGCCCCUUAUGACCUGGGCUACACACGUGCUACAAUGGACAGAACAAAGGGCAGCGAAACCGCGAGGUUAAGCCAAUCCCACAAAUCUGUUCUCAGUUCGGAUCGCAGUCUGCAACUCGACUGCGUGAAGCUGGAAUCGCUAGUAAUCGCGGAUCAGCAUGCCGCGGUGAAUACGUUCCCGGGCCUUGUACACACCGCCCGUCACACCACGAGAGUUUGUAACACCCGAAGUCGGUGAGGUAACCUUUAGGAGCCAGCCGCCGAA